rnacentral:rRNA from 1 species
AGUGAACGCUGGCGGUAGGCCUAACACAUGCAAGUCGAACGGCAGCACAGUAAGAGCUUGCCCUUACGGGUGGCGAGUGGCGGACGGGUGAGGAAUACAUAGGAAUCUACUUUUUCGUGGGGGAUAACGUAGGGAAACUUACGCUAAUACCGCAUACGACCUACGGGUGAAAGCAGGGGAUCUUCGGACCUUGCGCGAUUGAAUGAGCCGAUGUCGGAUUAGCUAGUUGGCGGGGUAAAGGCCCACCAAGGCGACGAUCCGUAGCUGGUCUGAGAGGAUGAUCAGCCACACUGGAACUGAGACACGGUCCAGACUCCUACGGGAGGCAGCAGUGGGGAAUAUUGGACAAUGGGCGCAAGCCUGAUCCAGCCAUACCGCGUGGGUGAAGAAGGCCUUCGGGUUGUAAAGCCCUUUUGUUGGGAAAGAAAAGCAGCAGGUUAAUCCCCCGCUGUUCUGACGGUACCCAAAGAAUAAGCACCGGCUAACUUCGUG